rnacentral:rRNA from 1 species
GUAAUUGCGAAUGAACAAGGAUAUGCUUAGCUUGACAAAUGGAGCUAUUGGCUUUGAAUUGUAUUGUGGAAAUGUAUUACCAACAGAGGUGCAGGUGCCAGCCUAUUGAAAUAAAGCGUCAAUGAGGGUGAGAAUCCUGUUUGUCAUGUGCAGCCCUUUGUGCACGGUGUAUAUUUGCUGAGUCACACUCCUUGGCAUUGGAAUGCAAAGUGGGUGGUAAGUUUCAUGUAAAGGUAAACAUGCAAUUGAGACUGAUAGCACACAAGUACCAUGAGGGAAAUAUGAAAAGGACUUUGAAAAGAGAAUUAAAUGAGUUUGUAUUUGCUGAACACAAAGUAAACAGACUUGAUUUGCUUGGUGGGAGUGUUGCACUUGCUUGACAAGAGCUUUGGGCUGUGGGUGUAAUGAUUCUUUCUUUGCAUGCCAGUUUCUAUUUGUACAUCUGAUUACCUUUGCACAUGAAUGAUAAGUCUCCUGUGGGGGGUGGAUUGCAUGUGCAUGUAAUGAUUUGUGUUUUGAUAAAUGUGUCUGGUGUAUGUGUGUGUUCCUGUGCUUGGGGAUGCUUCCUUCCUUGGACUUACAAGCCCUGACACACACAUGCUGGCAAAAUGCUUCUGCUUGACCCGUCUUGAAACACGGACCAAGGAGUCUAACAGAUGUGCAAAGUUUGAAGGUGGUAUACCUUUGUGUGCAAUGAAAGUGUCAGCUGGGAUAUGUGCACCAGCACCCAAUUAAUUAGCGGACAGAGGUUUGAGUUGGAGCAUAUCUAUUAGGACCCGAAAGAUGGUGAACUAUGCCUGAACAGAAUGAAUUCAGAGGAAACUCUGAUGGAGGUUCGUAUCGAUACUGACGUGCAAAUCGUUCGUCAUAUUUGGGUAUAGGGGGAAAGACUAAUCGAACCAUCUAGUAGCUGGUUCCCUCCGAAGUUUCCCUCAGGAUAGCUGGAGUUGCUCAGUUUUAUCAGGUAAAGCGAAUGAUUAAGGAAUUGGGGACAGGUUUGUCUUUGAC